rnacentral:lncRNA from 1 species
CUUUCCACACGGUUAGGUUAGCACACUUUAUAUAAUCAAGAUAGAAAUUGAUGUUUAACGAAGCAGACUCCACAAUCUGCUGAUGUUUGGGCUCUUUAGGUUUAAAAUAAACGGCGAUACCUUCGUCGGUAUCACGAGGGGAUUGCACAACUGAUGUGAGACAAGUGUUUUCUUCUUGACCUCCGAGAUUAGCAAGGCGCACACCACCACCGCCGGCACCGUUGAAGGCCGAAACAAUAAAGUAUCUAGCGUUUUUGUCGAGGGGAUGACCCUUCAAAUCUUUUACAACUCUCAAUAGUUGAUUGGGAAUAUCAGUAGAGCAAGUUGCCAAGGCUGAAAAGGGAAGGAAUGCAAGGGAAAGAAAGAGUAAGACGGUCUUCAUCUUUUGUUUCUUGGGUUGGAUUUAUGGAAUUUAAUUUGUUUUGGAUGCUUUAUUGCUCUUGCUUACCUCUUGAAUUUAUAGAGGAGAUGUACCAUGAUUUUGCUCUAGUGUGAACCACGUGGGUUUAAUUGUGGCAUUAUUGGUGCGAUCUUUUAUUGUACUAAAAUUGUGGGAAAUUAAAGAGAAGCUAUUCAUAAAAUAUUAGGGAGGUUUUAGACCUUCUUGGCCUUUAACAAUGUUGAAUUUAAGAAAAUAUCUUUUUUAGAUCUCUUAUGUGUAACUAAAAUAUGAGAGCUGCGAAGAUCUAAUAAGAAAAGAAAAGUUUCUUGUAUUUGUUCGCUGAACCUAGUAAGUUUACAGUAAGUAAGUUAUAGAUAUGUAAUGAAAUACUUAAUACAUAUAAUAUAUAGAGUUUGAGCAAAAAGUAAUGAAUUCACCUAAAUUUAUUGCGUAUUCACCAUUGAGUACAUGAGAUAGGGAACUUAAUUAUGUCUAAGUUUUUUUUGGUUUUCCAUCAUCAGUAUCCGCAUUGGGGUUGGACUAAAUCUAAAUUUGUAUUGAGAAGCCUCAUAUUGAGAGAGUAAAGUGCUCCCUAAGGAUACUCUAUAUAUGUAGGGUUCGAACUCGAAAUCUAUGGUUAAAGAUGAAAAAGUAUUUAUCACUCUACACAACUUUUGAUGAUAAUUAUGUUUAAGUUAUCUACCCAAAAAGAAGAAGAAAAAAUUGUGUAAAAAAAGUGAGUCACUACCAACAUGAUACAUCCCGACAUUUCUUGGAAUAAAAACGAAAUUCCAACAAAACAAACGAAUAAAGGCGAAGACACUACUAGAAAUUCGGCAAAAACCGAUCAAGGUCGACCGACCAAUUUUGAUCGGUCAAAAAAACCAACCAAAAAAUCGAUCAAAGUUGGUCGGUUUUUUAAAAUAUUUUACUUUUUAAUUUUAUUUUACGAAACCGACCAAUUUAGGUCGGUUUUCUUUAGCGCAAAAAUCCGGAAAACUAUUUUUGAGUCCCGCGAAAUUUAUUUUUCAAGAAACCGAUCAAAUUUGAUCGAUUUUUCAAUUAAAAUAAAUAAAAAUUAAUAUUAAAAAAACCGACCAAAAUUGGUCGGUUAAUUCGGCCGGUCAUUUAAAACAACCGACCAACUUUGGUCGGUAAUUUUACUUUUUAAUAAAACCGACCAACUUUUAUGUUUGGGCUCUUUAGGUUUAAAAUAAACCGCGAUACCAUCGUCAGUUGCACAACUGAUGUGGGACAAGUGUUUUCUUCUUGACCUCCGAGAUUAGCAAGGCGCACACCACCACCGCCGGCACCGU